CUCUCUUGUAUGCUACUCGGAGUACACGGGAUAUAUGUAGUCCAAUAAUGUUAGAUCUGCAAAGCAGUUUUGACAAAUGUUUGUUCUUCCGUCAGCAAGAUUUGAACUUUCCGUCAGCAAGAUUUGAACUAUGCCCCUGACUUAGUCUGUACUACAGCAGCGUAUACAUCUCGACCAUCUAGGCUAGUUAAAGAAAAAUUGAGAAUGGAAAUGGGGAAUGUGUCAAAGAGACAACAACCCGAACAUAGAGCAGACAACAGCCGAAGGCCACCAAUGGGUCUUCAAUGCAGCGAGAAACUCCCGCACCCGGAGGAGUCCUACAACUGGCC
rnacentral:lncRNA from 1 species